GGCGGUGUAGCUCAGUUGGUCAGAGCAUACGGUUCAUACCCGUAGCGUCACUGGUUCGACUCCAGUCACCGCCACCA
rnacentral:tRNA from 2 species